GGGUGCGAUCAUAACAACGUUAAUGCACCGGAUCCCAUCAGAACUCUGCAGUUAAGCGCGCUUGGGCUAGAGUAGCACUGGGAUGGGUGACCUCCUGGGAAGUCCUAGUGUUGCACCCU
rfam:Picea glauca, whole genome shotgun sequence.